rnacentral:rRNA from 1 species
GACGAACGCUGGCGGCGUGCUUAACACAUGCAAGUCGAACGGAAAGGCCCUGCUUUUGUGAGGUGCUCGAGUGGCGAACGGGUGAGUAACACGUGAGUAACCUGCCCUUGACUUUGGGAUAACUUCAGGAAACUGGGGCUAAUACCGGAUAGGAGCUCCUGCUGCAUGGUGGGGGUUGGAAAGUUUCGGCGGUUGGGGAUGGACUCGCGGCUUAUCAGCUUGUUGGUGGGGUAGUGGCUUACCAAGGCUUUGACGGGUAGCCGGCCUGAGAGGGUGACCGGCCACAUUGGGACUGAGAUACGGCCCAGACUCCUACGGGAGGCAGCAGUGGGGAAUAUUGCACAAUGGGCGGAAGCCUGAUGCAGCAACGCCGCGUGCGGGAUGACGGCCUUCGGGUUGUAAACCACUUUCGCCUGUGACGAAGCGUGAGUGACGGUAAUGGGUAAAGAAGCACCGGCUAACUACGUG